AUAACUUCCCAGCAUCAGUUGAUUUGAAAACAUUUUUCCCCCACCGAAAUACCCCUUUAUGGUUGGGCGACUCUAUGGUUUGGGCAAUACCAUGACGUAAUGUGGCACAGAUUCGCAGUUGUGGGGUAAUUCGGGAGGAUAUGGUGGUGGAAGCUCUGGAGGAAACGGAGGCUACAGUGGAGGAAACACUGGAGGAAGUGGAGGUUACGGUGGAGGAAGCUCUGGAGGAAGUGGAGGUUACGGUGGAGGAAGCUCUGGAGGAAGCGGAAGCUACGGCGGAGGAAACACUGGAGGAAGUGGAGGUUACGGUGGAGGAAGUUCUGGAGGAAGCUCUGGAGGAAGCGGAAGCUACGGUGGAGGAAACACUGGAGGAAGUGGAGGUUACGGUGGAGGAAGCUCUGGAGGAAGCGGAGGCUAUGGUGGAGGAACGACUGGAGGAGGUUCUACUAUCGGAAGAUGCGCAUGCAACUUGAACUGUGUAGAUGUAAGAGCAAAUGGGAACACUGCCAGAUGCCAAGCUGGAUACACCGCUGUCUCUUGUUCCUGUGGAAUGGGAUGUGGAACAUACACCUUCACAGGCUCCAACACCUGUAACUGUCAGUGCCUGAAUGUAGACUGGACAAGUGCCCGCUGCUGCAGGAACACCUAAACACAUGCCCCUGGAUGUCAUCUUUAUUUCACUGUUUAUUAUCACAUUUAAACAUUGCUUUGAUA